rnacentral:rRNA from 1 species
GUGCCAGCCGCCGCGGUAAUACGUAGGUGGCGAGCGUUGUCCGGAAUUACUGGGUGUAAAGGGCGUGUAGGCGGGGAUGCAAGUCAGAUGUGAAAUACCAUGGCUCAACUGUGGGGGUGCAUCUGAAACUGUGUCUCUUGAGUGCUGGAGAGGAAAGCGGAAUUCCUAGUGUAGCGGUGAAAUGCGUAGAUAUUAGGAGGAACACCAGUGGCGAAGGCGGCUUUCUGGACAGUAACUGACGCUGAGGCGCGAAAGCGUGGGGAGCAAACAGGAUUAGAUACCCUGGUAGUCCACGCCGUAAACGAUGGAUACUAGGUGUAGGAGGUAUCGACCCCUUCUGUGCCGGAGUUAACACAAUAAGUAUCCCACCUGGGGAGUACGGUCGCAAGACUGAAACUCAAAGGAAUUGGCGGGG